rnacentral:tRNA from 1 species
GCCGGCAUAGCUCAGUUGGUAGAGCACCUGAUUUGUAAUCAGGGGGUCCCGAGUUCGAACCUUGGUGCCGGCACCA